rnacentral:lncRNA from 1 species
GAAAUAAAAAUUAGACUAAAAUACUAUUAAUAGCACUAAGCUAUUGGUACUAUUAGUUUUUUAAUCCUUUGAUUGAGAAAUGUGCGGUUAAGAUGAUAUGGGCUUCCUAGGGUUGAGUGGGUGGUUGAUUGAAUAGUAUAAUCUAACGGAUAAAAAUAAUCAAAGGGUUAAAUUUAACAGUGGAAAACUCGAUAACACAAGUUUUUGGUGCUAUCGAUAGUAUCCCAGCCGGACUCCUUAAAACAAAAAAAGUAUAGAGAUAAAUAAGAUACUUCAGAAGUUUUGAGGG